AGAGUUUGAUCCUGGCCCAGGACGAACGCUGGCGGCGUGGAUUAGGCAUGCAAGUCGAACGCGAACGUUUUCCUUCGGGAAGAUUAGUAGAGUGCGGACGGGUGAGUAACGCGUAGAUGAUCUACCUUUAAGUGGGGGAUAGCCCCGGGAAACCGGGAUUAAUACCGCAUGUGGAGCUUCGGUUCUAAAGAUGGCCUCUGUUUCAAGCUGUCGCUUAAAGAUGAGUCUGCGUCCUAUUAGCUAGUUGGUGAGGUAAUGGCUCACCAAGGCGAUGAUAGGUAGGCGGCCUUAACGGGUGGUCGCCCACACUGGGAUUGAGAUACGCCCCAGACUCCUACGGGAGGCAGCAGUCGAGAAUAGUCUACAAUGGAGGAAACUCUGAUAGUGCGACGCCGCGUGGAUGAUGAAGCAUUUCGGUGUGUAAAGUCCUUUUCUUUGUGAGCAAUGGCCUGUCCAUAAAUAGUGUACAGGACGAGAUAUUAGCAGAGGAAUAAGCUCCGGCUAACUCCGUGCCAGCAGCCGCGGUAAUACGGGGGGAGCAAGCGUUGUCCGGAAUCACUAGGCGUAAAGGGUAAGUAGGCGGAAGCGUAAGUCAGAUGUUAAA
rnacentral:rRNA from 1 species